UGUCGCUGUCUGUGGGCACCGCGAACUUUACGAUACAACUCUUUAUGCUUACCGAAACCGGAGCUAUAAAGAUAAAGCGUGGAACAAGGUCGGAGAAGCCGUGGGACUACCUGGAGAUCUGCCGCCGGAGGUGGAAAAGUCUCAGAGACACGUAUCAAAGAGAGAAGAAGAGAGAGAGCAGCGAGAAGCGCAGUGGGAGUGCAGCUCAACUCAGCGCGUCGAAAAAAGUGUGUUCACACCAGACGCGUCGGGGGCGGAGUAUAAUAAAUGAGUCGAGGAACGACAGGACCGCAGAGUACUUCCACUUUUUAGUGAACUGGUUGAUAGUAAAGUACAACAAAUAGCGAGAAUAAAAGCAAAUACAUACAUUAAAAACUUACCAGGUAGUCCCACGGCUUCUCCGACCUUGUUCCACGCUUUAUCUUUAUAGCUCCGGUUUCGGACGAUGACGAGCGGAGCUGCUCAACGCUGAUUGGCUGACGCAACUAUGACUCACGCGUCUUUGCUGCCAGAGUUGGGAAAUUUGAACUCGCGCGUCAACGAGCUGCGUCUGUUCGCGCUGUUCGCCCCGCGACAAACCCUCUGUUCGUGCUGCUUCAAACGCGUCUGACGCGCUGCUCGCUGGAAAAUACGCAGCUACGCAGCUUCGACGCAGCUUUGCAUUGACUUAACAUGUAAUCUCGACG